rnacentral:tRNA from 1 species
GCCUGGGUAGCUCAGUGGAAGAGCUCCUGACUUGAGUUGCAGGGUUCCUGGGUUCGAUUCCCGGUCCAGCCA